rnacentral:rRNA from 1 species
UACGUAGGUGGCAAGCGUUACUCGGAAUCACUAGGCGUAAAGCGCAGGUAGGAGGUUUAGUAAGUCUGUUGUGAAAGCUCCCGGCUUAACUGGGAGAGGUCAACGGAAACUGCUAGGCUAGAGUGUGGUAGAGGUAGCUGGAAUUCCCGGUGUAGCGGUGAAAUGCGUAGAUAUCGGGAGGAAUACCUAUGGCGAAAGCAGGCUACUGGACCAUCACUGACUCUGAUCUGCGAAAGCUAGGGGAGCAAACAGG